UUAAACCGUAAGACUCUGUCUUGGGUUGACGUUCCUGAAGUUAAACUCAGGGCGUUGAAAAUGAUUGGCGCACGAGUUGUUGAGACCACCCAAUAUAACGGGG
rnacentral:rRNA from 1 species